GGUUCCAUAGCUCAGUUGGUAGAGCAUUGCACAAGUAACGCGGAGGUCAUGGGUUCAAAUCCCGUUGAAGCCA
rnacentral:tRNA from 1 species